UUGUCUUUCUCACUGUGUAGAUAUGCCAUUACCGUGUGGUAUUUUGAUGCUGAUGAGCGGGCGAGAGCUAAAGAAAAGUACCAAACAGGUGCAGGUGAAAAAGGAGUGAAGGUGGAGCUAAACAAGCCGUCUGAACCAAGCUAAUCAAAUCAUCAUUAAUCCUGACUUUUCCUGGUUACCAGCUGCGUGGA